rnacentral:rRNA from 1 species
AAUAGAUACCCGGGUAGUCCACGCCGUAAACGAUGAGUGCUAAGUGUUAGGGGGUUUCCGCCCCUUAGUGCUGCAGCUAACGCAUUAAGCACUCCGCCUGGGGAGUACGGUCGCAAGACUGAAACUCAAAGGAAUUGACGGGGGCCCGCACAAGCGGUGGAGCAUGUGGUUUAAUUCGAAGCAACGCGAAGAACCUUACCAGGUCUUGACAUCCCACUGACCGCUAUGGAGACAUAGUUUUCCCUUCGGGGACAGUGGUGACAGGUGGUGCAUGGUUGUCGUCAGCUCGUGUCGUGAGAUGUUGGGUUAAGUCCCGCAACGAGCGCAACCCUUGAUCUUAGUUGCCAUCAUUUAGUUGGGCACUCUAAGGUGACUGCCGGUGACAAACCGGAGGAAGGUGGAGAUGACGUCAAAUCAUCAUGCCCCUUAUGACCUGGGCUACACACGUGCUACAAUGGACGGUACAAACGGUUGCCAACCCGCGAGGGGGAGCUAAUCCGAUAAAACCGUUCUCAGUUCGGAUUGUAGGCUGCAACUCGCCUACA